rnacentral:rRNA from 1 species
GAUGAACGCUGGCGGCGUGCCUAAUACAUGCAAGUCGAGCGAACAGAUCAGGAGCUUGCUCCUCCGACGUUAUCGGCGGACGGGUGAGUAACACGUGGAUAACCUACCUAUAAGACUGGGAUAACUUCGCGAAACCGGAGCUAAUACCGGAUAAUAUAUUGAACUGCAUGGUUCCAUAGUGAAAGACGGUUUUGCUGUCACUUAUAGAUGGACCCGCACCGCAUUAGCUAGUUGGUAAGGUAACGGCUUACCAAGGCAACGAUGCGUAACCGACCCGAAAGCGUGGUCGGCCAGACGGGAAGUGAGACUGGGUCCAGACUCCUGCGGGGAGCAGCAGUAGGGAAUCUUACGCGAUGCGCGAGAGCCGAACGGAGCAACGCCGGGGGAGGGAUGAAGGUCUUAGGAUCGUAGAACUCUGUUAUUAGGAGAGAUCAAAUGUGUAAGUACCUAUGCACGUCUUGACGGUACCUAAUCAGAAAGCCACGGCUAACUACGUG